UCGGUAUCUGUUCUGCCCAUUGUUCCAGAUCUGGGUAUAAAUACUGGGAGACGCUCUCCCCCUGGACACACUAGCCAUUUGUUUGCAGAACAAUUCAAACCUCUCUCAUCACCAGUUUCAAAAUGUCUCGACUUUUCGCCCUUCUCGUCCUCGUCGCAGUGAUUGCUGUAGCAUCAUCGCAGUACAUCUACUCCAGCGUUGGUGUCCCUGCUUAUCGGUACGGAUACGCGUCCUAUGGGGCUUAUCCAGCAACAGCCUACUACCCAGGACUUACCUACCUCAAAAAGUGAACAUCCUGAUAACUUGCUCAAAUCUGUCAAAUCUGUUAAAUUGCAAUGAUUGGCAUGAUGUAGAAAAAAAUGAAAUACAAAUUGGCAAAAUUUUAGUCGAAAUGCA